rnacentral:lncRNA from 1 species
GUGGGACCGUGAUAUUUGGAACUUGAAGAUUCUACAGUGCAGUAUUCAACCUUCCCCUUCUCAUAAGAUGUACUUUUCAUGGUCAUAUUUCUCCAAUAUCCUUGCACUCCCAUGCUACAAAUGAGAAUCUAUAGACCUACCAACUUCUGGUUUGUUGGUAUCGGAUGGAUUUAGUGCAGGAUUGGGUUCUGGAUGCAGUGGUGCUUGAUGGUGAUCAGACAACACUAUAACAAAUUCCACAAGUUGCUCUAUAAUUGCUGUCAAGAAGUCUCUUGCUGCUCAACAAAUGGCCUUGACACUACAGCCGCUUGGCUAGCAACUAACUCCAACAAAUCUUGCUUGCUCUCGCCCAAAGCUGCAGUAGAGGUUAAAUUUGAAAGCCCCAAAGAGAGUUAUUCCUGUACCAAAUAACCCACAUCACCCAUGGGGAAUUCGUUGGCUAACCAAUUUGCUGAUUAGUUCUCCUAUGUAAACAUACAAGAAGCUUUGACCACUUGAACCACCUUCUGCAACUGCCAUACGUCUCUAAGAGGAGGUGAAUGAUUGCUAGAGAAUCACCUUCCACCCAGGUCUAUGUAGCUUUGUAAAACUGCUGUGCAGAUACCAAGCCAUGCUGCAUAAAGCUCUGAUCUGGGACUGAACAUAUCAAUAGGCUCAUAGCUGCUACAUGAAUGAUCUUUCCACUAUAAUCUCUGAUUAGGAAACCUACGCCAGCUGAAGAACUCUGACCCAUCCAUAUUGACCUUUAACAGUACAAGAGGAGGGGACAGACAACAAACAGGGAUUGGUGAAGGUGGGGUUCGCUCUAACCCUUGCCAUCACGCUAAUAGGAUCGAUACUUCUUUUGCUAGAUAUGUAGCUUUAUUAGAAAGAUCAUUGGAUAUUUUUGUACCUUUACCUGGAAUAUUCUAUCACUCCUAGCAGUCCCUAGGAUCCAUCCAGCAUAAAGAAGCAAAAACUCUGUCUCAAUCUAGUUCUUUCUUCACUAGGAACUGAAAUAGUUCAUUGAGAGACUUGAGAAACUUAUCCUUGCUUGAUUUGCAAAAUUAUUCCCAACAUCUUUUGCAAAUGGACAGUCACCAACACAUGCGCCAUAUACUCUUCCAUGUAUCCACAAAGGUCACAAAAACAUUAAUUAUGCUGGAUAAGGCCUCUAGCUUGUAAAAUGAGUUUGCAAGUGAGUCUCUUCCACUUGGCAAGCCACCAAAAGAAACCUACUCUAGGACAUUCCUAAGCCUUCCAGAUCUAUGAGAACUCAUUGUUCGUUUGAUGAUGAUGAUGCUCAACAAUUAUGUUGCAUACCUCUUUCAGAUUGAUCUUUAGGGCCUUGUUUUUUUUUCCCUCGUUAAUUGAUCCAUCCAGCAUUCUUUGGGCAGUCAUAAUUUAGCAAUAUCCCUCACCAUUUCUUGAGGAAAAAUGGUCGCCAGCUUCUGAAUAUCCCAAGGUUUUCGCUCAGUCAACAUAUCUGCAACCUUUACUCCCCCUACGUGAUUGUCCAUGUCAAUUGGGAUCGGCACAGAGUUCACAGCAUGUGCAAAUCCAAGGCUGAUUAAGCAUAUCAAUAUCCUGCACAUUGCUAAUGGUCCACAAGAAAACCUCCUGAAUGAUCAUAGCUCCCUGACAAAUUGAUUUCCAAAUAGCCAACCUCCUUUUACAGGGUUUAUACUCUUUCCAAGCAUCAUGAAAUCUAUGCUCUGGUGAGACCACUGCACAACAUAACGACUCAGUAUUAAGAACAAGACUACCAUCAGCUUUCCCC